UUAAGGGUCUUUGCCGAGGCUGGGGAUG
rnacentral:piRNA from 1 species